ACGGACGAAGGCGACUACCAGAUCAAGAUGCGCAACCUGCGCCGCUUCCUGGAAGACGGCGACAAGGGCAAGGUCACGCUGCGUUUCCGUGGCCGCGAGAUCACCCACCAGGACAUCGGCAUGCGCCUGCUGGAGCGGGUGCGCGACGAGCUGACCGACGUGUCGGUGGUCGAGCACAUGCCCAAGCUCGAAGGCCGCCAGAUGAUCAUGGUGCUGGCGCCCAAGCGCAAGAAGUGAUCGCCGUCGGCCCCGUUCCUCACGGGGCUGGCGCAAAAGUCGCCGCUCGGCGACAAUCGACGUUUUUCGAGCGCGCA
rnacentral:misc_RNA from 1 species